AGAGUUUGAUCCUGGCUCAGAACGAACGCUGGCGGCAUGCCUAACACAUGCAAGUCGAACGAACCCUUCGGGGUUAGUGGCGCACGGGUGCGUAACGCGUGGGAAUCUGCCCUUUGCUUCGGAAUAACAGUUAGAAAUGACUGCUAAUACCGGAUGAUGUCUUCGGACCAAAGAUUUAUCGGCAAAGGAUGAGCCCGCGUAGGAUUAGGUAGUUGGUGGGGUAAAGGCCUACCAAGCCGACGAUCCUUAGCUGGUCUGAGAGGAUGAUCAGCCACACUGGGACUGAGACACGGCCCAGACUCCUACGGGAGGCAGCAGUGGGGAAUAUUGGACAAUGGACGCAAGUCUGAUCCAGCAAUGCCGCGUGAGUGAUGAAGGCCUUAGGGUUGUAAAGCUCUUUUACCAGGGAUGAUAAUGACAGUACCUGGAGAAUAAGCUCCGGCUAACUCCGUGCCAGCAGCCGCGGUAAUACGGAGGGAGCUAGCGUUGUUCGGAAUUACUGGGCGUAA
rnacentral:rRNA from 1 species